AAAAAAAAAAAAUCCUUUCAUCAAAUGAAACCAUAUUCAUAGAUUCAUCUUCCAAGGUAAAUCCUUAGCUACAAAUCAUCCAUGAGGAACUAAAAAUUGAAGGAAUAUCAGAACAAGUGUUUUUCAAACUAAAAAAAUAUAGACAUGCAACGAACCAAGUUAGUUAGACUGCAAAGGAUUGGUGCAAAGGCCCUUGGUUUGGGUUGGUUCAGGUUACCUACACUCAAACUGGGAAGCAAAACAAAGUCAUCUCCUCUCAAAAUAAUUAAACAAGGACCAAAAAGUAUCAAGAACAUAAAUUAAACCAAAAUAAAUAGGUAAUGCAUUUCACUCUAUGUCUAUGGGGCAUCCAAACUCAAGUUGAAACCCUAAGAGGCAGUUGAUAACAAAAGACAAAAGAUUAUACAAAAAAUUCAAAAGUUAAAUACAUCAACAAAUGUACCUUUGCCGAUGAAAUUUUCUGAA
rnacentral:misc_RNA from 1 species